rnacentral:tRNA from 1 species
AGACCUAUGGCUCAGUGGUGGAGCACUUGCCUGGCAUUCAAAGGAAGCCCUGGGUUCCAUCCCCAAUAAAUUUA